rnacentral:rRNA from 1 species
AUGAACGCUGGCGGCGUGCCUAAUCCAUGCAAGUCGAGCGAACAGACGAGGAGCUUGCUCCUCUGACGUUAGCGGCGGACGGGUGAGUAACACGUGGAUAACCUACCUAUAAGACUGGGAUAACUUCGGGAAACCGGAGCUAAUACCGGAUAAUAUAUUGAACCGCAUGGUUCAAUAGUGAAAGACGGUUUUGCUGUCACUUAUAGAUGGAUCCGCGCCGCAUUAGCUAGUUGGUAAGGUAACGGCUUACCAAGGCGACGAUGCGUAGCCGACCUGAGAGGGUGAUCGGCCACACUGGAACUGAGACACGGUCCAGACUCCUACGGGAGGCAGCAGUAGGGAAUCUUCCGCAAUGGGCGAAAGCCUGACGGAGCAACGCCGCGUGAGUGAUGAAGGUCUUCGGAUCGUAAAACUCUGUUAUUAGGGAAGAACAAAUGUGUAAGUAACUAUGCACGUCUUGACGGUACCUAAUCAGAAAGCCACGGCUAACUACGUG